AACGAACGCUGGCGGCAUGCCUAACACAUGCAAGUCGAACGAGACCUCCGGGUCUAGUGGCGCACGGGUGCGUAACGCGGGGGAACCUGCCCUUAGGUUCGGAAUAACUCCCCGAAAGGGGUCCUAAUACCGGAUAAUGUCUUCGGACCAAAGAUUUAUCGCCUUUGGAUGGGCCCUCGUUGGAUUAGCUAGUUGGUAGGGUAAAAGCCUAGCAAGGCGACGAUCCAUAGCUGGUCUGAGAGGAUGAUCAGCCACACUGGCAAUGAGACACGGCCCAGACUCGUACGGGAGGCAGCAGUAGGGAAUAUUGGACAAUGGGCGAUGACGUGGUAAAGCAAUGCCGCGUGAGUGAUGAAGGGCUUAGGGUUGUAAAGCCCUUUUAGACGGGAUGAUAAUGACAGUAACGGGAGAAUAAGCACCGGCUAACUCCGUG
rnacentral:rRNA from 1 species